CAAAGGCACAGACACCUGAUCCCAAAGCCAUCAGGCUGCUCCUUCAGAACAAUGGAUACACACCCGAACUCAAGAGUAACAAACAGAGCACCUGAGGACUUAAAAUAUGCACCUGAAAGAAGGCAACAUUGAGUUUUGAGCAUUACUCCAGGGACCACUAUUAACUGGUAAAAUUAUUACCUGUUCUCAGAACUCUGGGAACCCAGGCAACUGAAAUACUUCAUGUGGGUGCCAAAUUUUCUCUUCUCAUGUGUUAUUUUCUGGAUGAUGACACAGGUAACAAGUGCUGUGCCUCUCUCGCUGUAAACUGCAGGCUUAGAGUAUUUCUGGGAGUAGAGAGAGAUGCGACUUUGAAAGUUGUGAAGUUGUAAAGAGAACAGUCUCUCACUUGCUACACAGUUUCCCUGACAAGAUGCUGUAUACCAAGAUGAUACCUUCAUCUCGUCUCCUACAAUGAGGAUGCCUAAGGAAGAAAUAAAAGCUCUCUUCUCUUUGUAGACAUCUCUGCUCAGUAAAGAACUCCAGACAAUA